rnacentral:rRNA from 1 species
CUAAGUGUAUGUGGUGGAUGCCUUGGCGAUCACAGGCGAUGAAGGACGUGACAGCCUGCGAAAAGCUGUGGGGAGUUGGCAAAUAAGCUUUGAUCCACAGAUGUCCGAAUGAGGGAACUCACCUGCUUUGCAGGUAUCCCAUCCUGAAUAUAUAGGGAUGGGAGGCGAACGAAGCGAACUGAAACAUCUAAGUAGCUUCAGGAAAAGAAAUCAACCGAGAUUCCGAAAGUAGCGGCGAGCGAAAUCGGAUCAGCCCAGCACUCGAUAGCAGCCAACUUACGGGAACGGUCUGGAAAGUCCGGCCAUAGAGGGUGAUAGCCCCUUACUGGAAAAGGCAGCUGUGGUACUAAGUGUGCGAUAAGUAGAGCGGGACACGUGACAUCCUGCUCGAAGAUGGGGGGACCAUCCUCCAAGGCUAAAUACUCGUGAUCGACCGAUAGCGUACCAGUACUGUGAAGGAAAGGUUAAAAGAACCCCGGGAGGGGAGUGAAAUAGAUCCUGAAACCGCAUACAUACAAACAGUAGGAGCCUCGUUAAGGGGUGACUGCGUACCUUUUGCAUAAUGGGUCAGCGACUUACGUUUAAUGGCGAGCUUAACCGUAUAGGGGAGGCGCAGCGAAAGCGAGUUCGAACAGAGCGUUCAGUCGUUAGGCGUAGACCCGAAACCAGAUGAUCUAUCCAUGGCCAGGUUGAAGGUGUGGUAACACACACUGGAGGACCGAACCGACUAGUGUUGCAAAAUUAGCGGAUGAGCUGUGGAUAGGGGUGAAAGGCUAAACAAAUCUGGAGAUAGCUGGUUCUCCCCGAAAACUAUUGAGGUAGUGCCUCGUGUAUGACUCCAGGGGGUAGAGCACUGUUAUGGCUAGGGGGACAUGGCGUCUUACCAAACCAUGGCAAACUCCGAAUACUUGGAAGUUUGAGCACGGGAGACAGAGCACCGGGUGCUAACGUCCGGACUCAAGAGGGAAACAACCCAGACCGCCGGCUAAGGUCCCUAAUAUUGACUAAGUGGAAAACGAAGUGGAAAGGCUAAGACAGUCAGGAAGUUGGCUUAGAAGCAGCCAUCCUUCAAAGAAAGCGUAAUAGCUCACUGAUCGAGUCUUUCUGCGCGGAAGAUGUAACGGGGCUAAGUCAAUAACCGAAGCCGCGGAUUCACACUUGUGUGUGAGUGGUAGGGGAGCGUUCUGUAAGCCUGCGAAGGUGACUCGUAAGGGUUGCUGGAGGUAUCAGAAGUGCGAAUGCUGACAUGAGUAACGUUAAAGCGGGUGAAAAGCCCGCUCGCCGUAAGCCCAAGGUUUCCUGCUCUACGUUCAUCGGAGCAGGGUGAGUCGGCCCCUAAGGUGAGGCUGAGAAGCGUAACUGAUGGGAACAAGGUUAAUAUUCCUUGACCACCGCUGAAUGCGAAGGGGGGACGGAGUAUUGAAGAUCAUCCGGGUGUUGGAUAUCCCGGUUUGCGAGCGUAGGAGGCUGACAGGCAAAUCCGUCAGCGAAUCUCCGAGGCAAAGCAUCGAGCUCUCUUUUGAGCGAAGUGAUUGGAUGUGCUUCCAGGAAAAGCCUCUAAGCUCCAGUUCAGCGGGACCGUACCGCAAACCGACACUGGUGGGCGAGCUGAAUAUGCUCAGGCGCUUGAGAGAACUCAGGAGAAGGAACUCGGCAAAUUGACACCGUAACUUCGGGAUAAGGUGUGCCUUUGUAGCGUGGAGGGAGAAACACCCCGAGCGCGAAGAGGUCUCAGAUAAUCGGUGGCUGCGACUGUUUAUUAAAAACACAGCACUCUGCAAAGACGAAAGUCGACGUAUAGGGUGUGAUGCCUGCCCGGUGCUGGAAGAUUAAUUGAUGGGGUGCAAGCUCCUGAUCGAAGUCCCAGUAAACGGCGGCCGUAACUAUAACGGUCCUAAGGUAGCGAAAUUCCUUGUC